AGAGUUUGAUCAUGGCUCAGGACGAACGCUGGCGGCGUGCCUAAUACAUGCAAGUUGAACGCAACAAAGACACCAGAGCUUGCUCUACCGUCUUUGUUGAGUAGCGAACGGGUGAGUAACGCGUGGGUAACCUGCCUUAUAGCGGGGGAUAACUAUUGGAAACGAUAGCUAAUACCGCAUAACAAUAGAGAUUGCAUAAUCUUUAUUUGAAAGUGCCAACUGGUACACUAUGAGAUGGACCCGCGUUGUAUUAGCUAGUUGGUAGUGUAAUGGACUACCAAGGCGAUGAUACAUAGCCGACCUGAGAGGGUGAUCGGCCACAUUGGGACUGAGACACGGCCCAAACUCCUACGGGAGGCAGCAGUAGGGAAUCUUCGGCAAUGGACGAAAGUCUGACCGAGCAACGCCGCGUGAGUGAAGAAGGUUUUCGGAUCGUAAAACUCUGUUGUUAGAGAAGAAUGUUGAUUAGAGUGGAAAAUUAAUCAAGUGACGGUAUCUAACCAGAAAGGGACGGCUAACUACGUGCCAGCAGCCGCGGUAAUACGUAGGUCCCGAGCGUUGUCCGGAUUUAUUGGGCGUAAAGCGAGCGCAGGUGGUUUAAUAAGUCUGAUGUAAAAGGCAGUGGCUCAACCAUUGUGUGCAUUGGAAACUGUUAGACUUGAGUGCAGUAGAGGAGAGUGGAAUUCCAUGUGUAGCGGUGAAAUGCGUAGAUAUAUGGAGGAACACCGGUGGCGAAAGCGGCUCUCUGGACUGUCACUGACACUGAGGCUCGAAAGCGUGGGUAGCAAACAGGAUUAGAUACCCUGGUAGUCCACGCCGUAAACGAUGAGUGCUAGUUGUUUGGGGCUAUCCAGCCCUAAGUGACGCAGCAAACGCAUUAAGCACUCCGCCUGGGGAGUACGACCGCA
rnacentral:rRNA from 1 species